rnacentral:rRNA from 1 species
GACAGAGGUGCCAAGCGUUAGGCGGAAUCACUGGGCUUAAAGCGUGUGUAGGCGGAUGCCUAAGUACCUUGUGAAAUCCCACGGCUCAACCGUGGAACUGCUGGGUAUACUGGGCGUCUUGGGCCAACUAGGGGUCGCUGGAACAAAUGGUGGAGCGGUGAAAUGCGUAGAUAUCAUUGGAACGCCAAGGGCGAAAGCAAGCGACUGGGGUGUGCCGACGCUGAGACACGAAAGCCAGGGGAGCGAACGGG